rnacentral:rRNA from 1 species
AGAGUUUGAUCCUGGCUCAGAACGAACGCUGGCGGCAGGCUUAACACAUGCAAGUCGAACGGUUGUAGCAAUACAGCAGUGGCGCACGGGUGAGUAACGCGUGGAUAUCUGCCUUUUGGUUCGGAAUAACUCCGGGAAACUGGAGCUAAUACCGGAUGGUUCCUACGGGAUAAAGAUUUAUCGCCAAAAGAUGAGUCCGCGUACGAUUAGCUAGUUGGUGGGGUAAUGGCCCACCAAGGCGACGAUCGUUAGCUGGUCUGAGAGGACGAUCAGCCACACUGGGACUGAGACACGGCCCAGACUCCUACGGGAGGCAGCAGUGGGGAAUAUUGGACAAUGGGGGCAACCCUGAUCCAGCCAUGCCGCGUGAGUGAUGAAGGCCUUCGGGUUGUAAAGCUCUUUUGGCGGGGACGAUGAUGACGGUACCCGCAGAAUAAGCCCCGGCUAACUUCAUGCCAGCAGCCGCGGUAAGAC